rnacentral:rRNA from 1 species
AACGAACGCUGGCGGCGUGCCUAAUACAUGCAAGUCGAACGCAGUGGGGACGGGUGAGUAACACGUGGGUAACCUCCCAUCAGAGGGGAUAACACUUGGAAACAGGUGCUAAACCGAUACUGAUGGAUGGACCCGCGGUGCAUUAGCUAGUUGGUGAGGUAACGGCUCACCAAGGCCACGAUGCAUAGCUGGCCUGAUAGGGUGACCGGCCACACUGGAACUGAGACACGGCCCAGACUCCUACGGGAGGCAGCAGUAGGGAAUCUUCGGCAAUGGGCGAAAGUCUGACCGAGCAACGCCGCGUGUGUGAAGAAGGUUUUCGGAUUGUAAAACUCUUUUGUUAGAGAAGCGUUAUCUGACCAGGAAGCCACGGCUAACUACGUGCCAGCAGCCGCGGUAAUAC